GACGAACGCUGGCGGCGUGCUUAACACAUGCAAGUCGAACGGAAAGGCCCUGCUUUUGUGGGGUGCUCGAGUGGCGAACGGGUGAGUAACACGUGAGUAACCUGCCCUUGACUUUGGGAUAACUUCAGGAAACUGGGGCUAAUACCGGAUAGGAGCUCCUGCUGCAUGGUGGGGGUUGGAAAGUUUCGGCGGUUGGGGAUGGACUCGCGGCUUAUCAGCUUGUUGGUGGGGUAGCGGCUUACCAAGGCUUUGACGGGUAGCCGGCCUGAGAGGGUGACCGGCCACAUUGGGACUGAGAUACGGCCCAGACUCCUACGGGAGGCAGCAGUGGGGAAUAUUGCACAAUGGGCGGAAGCCUGAUGCAGCAACGCCGCGUGCGGGAUGACGGCCUUCGGGUUGUAAACCGCUUUCGCCUGUGACGAAGCGUGAGUGACGGUAAUGGGUAAAGAAGCACCGGCUAACUACGUGC
rnacentral:rRNA from 1 species